rnacentral:rRNA from 1 species
GAUGAACGCUAGCGGCAGGCCUAACACAUGCAAGUCGGGGGGCAGCACAGAAACAGCAAUGUUUUGGUGGCGACCGGCGGACGGGUGCGUAACGCGUAUGCAACCUACCUUUAACAGGGGGAUCACGGAGAGAAAUUUCCACUAAUACCCCAUAACAUCGAUCAAGGCAUCUUGAUUGGUUGAAAACUCCGGUGGUUAAAGAUGGGCAUGCGUUGUAUUGGGUAGUUGGUGAGGUAGUGGCGAACCAAGACUACGAUACAUAGGGGGACUGAGAGGUUAGCCCCCCACACUGGUACUGAGACACGGACCAGACUCCUACGGGAGGCAGCAGUGAGGAAUAUUGGUCAAUGGGGGCAACCCUGAACCAGCCAUGCCGCGUGCAGGAAGCCGGCUCUAUGAGUUGUAAACUGCUUUUAAAAAGGGAUAAAGCACAGUAUGUAUACUGUGUUGAAGGUACUGUAAGAAUAAGGAUCGGCUAACUCCGUGCCAGCAGCCGCCGUAA